rnacentral:pre_miRNA from 1 species
GCUGGUGAAAAGGAACCACAUCAACCCAGCAAAAGGAUUUGGUCCCCUUCAACCAGCC